CGAUUUCAGAGAGACUACAAAUGACUUGGGACUCCUUGCUGCACGCACCAUGCACUGCAUCUAGUCAGCAUGAGGUAUGUUGGGAAUCUGUUGGACCAAUUACCUUGCACAAGAGAGGGGGUGCUCCUGCAACCGGAAGGGACCCAAGCUGCAGGCCACAUCCCUGAUUGGGCACCAACCCCCAUGCAAAGAAUAUGGCUUCAAGGAGGACCCCUAUCUCUGAGAAAUUAUAAUAGCGCUAACUGACGCAGUCAGGAAUGCAACUACCCAAUUUAUGUGCUACAAAAGUUUAAAAACUGUCAGGAGAUAGCACAGCUCACAUACUGAAGUUCUACACUGGUCUGUAAACUCCCUGACAAGAGACUACGCUAGGAGGGGUUAAGUACAGAUAUUGCUAGGUUUCCAAAGGAAAAGUUUUAAAACAGACACCGUGGCUUUGAAUAAAGUAUUGCUCUUCUUUAAAAUGCUCAGUCAUUGCUUUCCAAAAGAAGGUGUCAGAGUGGUGUAUCUGAUAGCUGGAAAGCCUCAGGGGGUCACAAUGCUCUUAAGACCAAAACAGAAAUUGCCAUUUCAAGCCAGACAACCUGAUGGUUCUAGAAGUCAGAGAAGAAAUCUUGAGGGCCCAAGUGAAUAAUAAGUGGCGCGACGCUCAGAGGCUGGCAAUAGGGGCUGUCAAUGAAAAAACCGCCUACAGUGGAGAAAAGAGCAGAGAAGCAACACUUGGUGUUAAUGUCACAGAAUUUGGUGAAGCCAAGAGCUUCAUUUAUAUUUCUCUGCUCUUUCAGCUGUAAGUGGAAUUUUCAUUACAAAAUGAAGGGGUGGGAAGGGCAGAAGGGGGGAGGGGGACACUUAAUUCAUUACAAAAUUUAAACAGUUGAACUUGCAUGGUUACCACUUCUAACAAAGGACUUGACAGCUCAAUUAUUUUAAGUAAAGCAGAGAAAUGUAAAAGUUUGCAGCAACUGGGCAGGUUUACAACAUGGUUAGUAACUUCCAACAAACAACAAAAUUAAAAAAAAAAAAAAGACUUGGUAGAAACCAUUUGAAAUGACUGCCAUCAUGUUGGAAAACAGCACAGCUCCCUUUUCACCAUCAUAGAGGGGUUAAAUUAUGAAGCUGAGUCAGCUACUUCAAAGAAUUUUCUAAAGAGAAAUCUCCAGGGAGAUUCCAACUUGGAAUGCAAAUUUGACAAUCAAUUUCAAAUAACAAUCUGGCUGCAGCUGCCAAUUAAUAGUAUUCCAAACACAGAGAGGACUAUUGUAAAUAUUGAAUUAAUAAAAACUGGACAUUACCAGCCAUGCUUUUUCUUCUCAGUGAUGGCUCUGUUUCAUCCAUAGGUCAGCAAAAUGAAUCAAUGAAACAUGACAACUCCCAGCUGCAAUGGGCCCUCUGGUUUAUGUCUAGCCACUAAUGCACAGGAUGAGAAUGCAGCACUCAACAAGAACUGGGACAAUUGAAGAGCAAGUAUUUAUGGGGACCCUGUUGCUGCUUUAGAUUCUGAUGUAAUUGAAGAGGAAAAGAGACCUUUCAAUGAAUCCCAGAAAAAUCGCUAAUCUUCUAUCUGCAUGAAAAAAGCCAGGGAAGUGAACACAGUAUCUUACAGAGUGAAGAAGGCCACAAGAACAAGAGAGGUUAUGAAAUCAAAUGAAGCUUCCAUUUAGCAGUGUCUUAAGGACCCAUCAUUUUCAUCUGAACAAAAAUGGAAAAGCUGAUGCAUGAAGAGAGAAAGCAUAAUGAAGGGUCCUGAGGCUCGUGUGGAGGACUAAUGCCACAAGUACUAGGAUAUUCAAAGUCCUUCCCCGCUAUGCACAUGCACGCCCAGCCCAGGGUCACACCAAUACACACUCACACAUGCACACACAUGCUCUUUUCUUCUCCAAUGGCAAAUAUCCUGCAGAUGGCUGACCUAUAACAUGUAGCGCCUGAGUUAGGGAAAAUGUCUAAAAGGGCAUAUCACUGACUCCAAACCUACUGCCUCCAUUGCCACAUAAACCUCAUUCAAAAGUUAUCCAAAGGGCCACUGAGGUUCAUUUCUGCAGAUGCUUUUAUUUUUUAUUUUUGGAGGGAGAGGAGACACUCCUAGGAUUUUAUAACAUGUACCACAGACUUUGUGCAGUAAGCACUUUAGUAACACUGCUGGUGACACCCCAUCGCCACGCUAGGGCCCAUUUAUGUCACCUCUAAGGCAAAAUUUAUGGAAAAAGAUGAUGGCUACAAAUUUGAAGUGAACAUUUCCUAACCCUAACUCAAGUCACCUAGACAGUUUCAAGCCAGAAACUUCAAUGCAGCCAUGUAACCGGCAAGCAGCUGAGCUGGAAACCGGAUAUGGCCCUUCAGUAGCCUUUGAAUGGAGUAUAAGUUGGCUGUAAGAAGAACUACUUAAAAUAUUUAAUUUCAGUAUGUUCAGAAACAGGCAAUUAGAACAAGCAGUCCUUCAAUCAGGCAAAGCAGAGAGAAGAGCAACUCCAACCAAACCAAGAACCACAAGGUUGUGGCGUUUUCAAAGGGAAUUUAAGUUGGGUCACUAGAAUGAAUAGGUCUGAGAUCCUCCAUUUCAUUUAAAGAAACCCUGGAUACAAACUGUGCUUUAGACUGCUGUGACAGCAUUGCUAAGAGGAGAAAUCAGAAAGAUGGUGUACAUACCAUAGGCAGGGGCAGCUGUGCUGUAACCAUACGGUGCUCCAUAGCCUAGUGCAAAGAAGAAAGCAGAUCAGUCCAGAACAAAAGGCGACUAAUCAGUAUUCACAAGUACUGCCUGACCCAGCACCUCGGGCCCUGAAGACUUCUUCCAGAUAUUUGCAUGAAUGAGAACCAUUCUCCGAAUACCCCAAACCAUUCCUGCUUAGCAUGGAAGCUUUUUCCCACAACCUAUAAGGUUCUCCUGACCUACCAGAAUAUCCUGUCUUUCUCCUUGCACUUAUGACACUGUAUUAUAACUAUCAGCUCCUUGUCUGUGUCUCCCAUAGAGUGACAGACACCAAGUCUUAGACACUUUUGUAUCACCUCAACUUGGCAGGAGGUCUGGCCAAGUAGUAACAUAGUAACAACCCACUAUAAUUUGUUGAACAAAUCUGUCUCCUCUGGCUCAGCAGUUUAGGGCCGCCUUCAGCCCAGGGAGUGAUCCUGGGGACCGGACAUUGAGUCUCACGUCGGGCUCCCUGCAUGCAGCCUGCUUCUCCCUCUGCCUAUGUCUCUGUCUGUCUGUCU